GUGAGGGGGUGACUAGUGACAGAGUGAGGGAAGGGAUGACUAGUGGCAGAGUGAGGGAAGGAAGGGGUGACUAGUGACAGAGUGAGGGAGGUGGUGACUGUCACUAGUCACCACCUCCCUCACUGUCACUAGUCACCACCUCCCUCUGUCACUACUCCCUCCCUCCUUCUGUCACUACUCCCUCCUUCCUUCUGUCACUAGUCACGCCCUCCCUCACUCUGUCACCAGUCAUCCCCUCCCUCACUCUGUCACCAGUCAUCCCCUUCCCUCAC